UACAGAGGGCGCGAGCGUUAAUCGGAAUUACUGGGCGUAAAGGGUGCGUAGGCGGUUAUUUAAGUUAGAUGUGAAAUCCCUGGGCUUAACCUGGGAAUGGCAUUUAAGACUGAGUGACUAGAGUAGAGUAGAGGGAAGUGGAAUUUCCGGUGUAGCGGUGAAAUGCGUAGAUAUCGGAAAGAACAUCAGUGGCGAAGGCGGCUUCCUGGACUCAUACUGACGCUGAGGCACGAAAGCAUGGGGAGCAAACAGG
rnacentral:rRNA from 1 species